AUUGAACGCUGGCGGCAGGCCUAACACAUGCAAGUCGAGCGGUAGAGAGGAGCUUGCUUCUCUUGAGAGCGGCGGACGGGUGAGUAAUGCCUAGGAAUCUGCCUGGUAGUGGGGGAUAACGUUCGGAAACGGACGCUAAUACCGCAUACGUCCUACGGGAGAAAGUGGGGGAUCUUCGGACCUCACGCUAUCAGAUGAGCCUAGGUCGGAUUAGCUAGUUGGGGAGGUAAAGGCUCACCAAGGCGACGAUCCGUAACUGGUCUGAGAGGAUGAUCAGUCACACUGGAACUGAGACACGGUCCAGACUCCUACGGGAGGCAGCAGUGGGGAAUAUUGGACAAUGGGGGGAACCCUGAUCCAGCCAUGCCGCGUGUGUGAAGAAGGCCUUUUGGUUGUAAAGCACUUUAAGCGAGGAGGAGGCUACUUUGGUUAAUACCUAGAGAUAGUGGACGUUACUCGCAGAAUAAGCACCGGCUAACUCUGUGCCAGCCGCCGCUGUAACAC
rnacentral:rRNA from 1 species